UUUUUUUUAAACAUUAAAUUUAUAUUGUUUACAAGCAUUUAAAAUGAAUAACUGUUUAUACUAUAAAUUUAUGGCCAAACCUUUAUUACAAUAUUUUCCCUGCUAAAUCACAGAAUUUGCAGAUAAUAUCAUGGUCUUCGGCAUCAUUUUAUUUAAAAAAUAAAAUAAAAUAAAAAAACAGAAAAGGAAAUAUUUUCAUUCAGUGUUUUCCUAAUGUCACUAAAAACAAAUGGGAACAUAGAACAGAGCAACUUAAAAAGUACACACACUUAGCACUCAAUUUCACGUUACAGAUCAGUCAUUCGUCAACUUAGCGUGUGAAAGUCAUUCGGUUUUACGUCUGAAUUGUUGCGAUGUCAUGAAUGACUGGGAAUGUUGCCAGUACCUAGAUUUCUGCAUGUACACAAAACAGUUCUACUUCAGGGAAUUCAUACUAAAGCUACUAAGCAGACUCGCUAAUGAAUACUAUAUGCUAGCUGGACGUUUGUGCUUUUGAGAGAAAUAACAGUGUACUUCUUAUAUGGAGAUUGGCUGGAUAAUGUAAGGCCACUCAGUGUUUAAAAAAAAAAAAAAAAAGGCUAAAUAAGUGUGUGCUGGAUCAAGUGCUAUUUUAUUCACUUCUGAUUAAUGGGGAUGGGAAGCAAUAUUCAGGCAGCAAUACAUUCCUAAUAUACUAGACUCGUUGCUUGCCUUUUUCUCAUUCAUGUGUCAUCAUAUUAUUUAUUUUUUUAUGUCUCUUGCUUUUGUUACAUCAUAUUACACUUGAAAAAGAAAAAGAAUGCAAUUUUUCAUCUUCAGUUCACAUUUUCUGGGUUUUUUUUCUUCCAGGGUUAAAGGCAGUGGUCUAGAUGCUACGUAAAAAUCUGGCAAUGCUGAAGGCGGAAGCUACGUAAAAAUCUGGCAACACUGAAGGCGGAAGCUACGUAAAAAUCUGGCAACACUGAAGGCGGAAGCUAUGUAAAAAUCUGGCAACACUGAAGGCGGAAGCUACGUAAAAAUCUGGCAACACUGAAGGCGGAAGCUACGUAAAAAUCUGGCAACGCCGAAGGUAGAAGCUAUGGAAAUAUCUGGCAACACCGAAGGCAGAAGGUAUGGAAAAAUCUGGCAACACCGAAGGCGUGAACUAAAUGCAGUUAAUUUGUAUAAUCUGAAUGAUGUAUCUGGAAAAUGAACUUAAACUGGUGCUUAACCCAGCACUGAAUACGUGUUCGUCACCGACUCUGAAUCGGGCCCUGUAAUUUGUAUUUCGUUGAGGUCAGUACAUCAGGCUGGUCGUCUGAGAUCAUUUAACUUUGCACUGUACGCGUGUAUUUUUUUCUAUUUUAGGUUCUGAUUUCAAGCGGAGCUUUUAAAGUUUAUAAAAUGGUUCAUAAAGAUAGCAUUUUAGGGGAAGAACUCAUUUCAGUGUGUCGAAUUGUUAAAAAAUAAAAUAAAAGAAAUAAAUACUACAGCAGCGUUGCUGCACUAUUUCAAGGAAAACAGAUUUCAAAAUCUGAUUAGAUUAAAAAGUCUAAUUAGAAAUCUCAGUUAAACGCUAUUGCUUCGUUAAUCCUAAAAGCAUACGAGGACCCAAUAUGCAAAUGUCUUCUGUUAUUACACUGAAUCAUCAAGAGACGUGGGUGAAUAAGCAUAGGCUUGAGAGCAUUUCCUAUUUGCAUAUUCAUAAAAUCUGAAUUUCUUAAUGAGUAUUCAUUUCACAGAAUAUAUUUGUGAAACCACCACAUCAGUCAAUAUUUAACAUAGAAAAAUAUGUUCCAUCUAACUAUAAUACAGUCUGAUAGAUUUUCUCUUUUUUCUCAGCAUCAAAAUGGCUUGCUUUUCUCCUACAGACAGCUCUCUGGUCUUCAUGUUGGCUUAUCCUUUUUAACAACAAAUGCAGUCUUCACAUGCAAAAGGUUUAACAUAUCUAGAUGUAAAAAUCAGGAAAUAAACACUGAAUUUCUGUUCUAUCGUCUCACUCAUCCUUUGAUCUCGAACACAAAUGUGUUCAAUGUAUAGCAAAAAAUAAAUUAAUAGAACUGGCCUGGCUGUUCCAAUACUUUCGGAGGAGACUGUAGAAGGAUACAGCACACACCGGGGAAUCUGAUCACAUGACACUCGUUUAAAUUUAUUAAGGAGAUUAUUAUCGAAAAUUAGUCUGAUUUACUUCUUACCCAAAUUUCAAAUGAUUUCUUCCAAACAGGAAGAGUAGACUGUCCAAACUGUAAGGAAAGUUCUAACGAGCAUCAAGACAACCAUCGUUAAAUAAGAUGAUACCAUUGAUUUUCUGCAAAAAGACAUAAUUAGUACAUUCUAGAAACAUAUCAGAUUAGUGUUACUGAUUAAAGUUUAAAGUGAACAGAAAAUGAGCUUUGACUCAGAUCCAUGUUCUGAUUAAAGAAUAAAGCAGGUCCUUCUAACCACGUGCCUGAGACCCCGGGGAUGAAAUCCCAGAUUUGGAAAGGUUUUGGAGUGUGUCCGCUAUCUCGCUCCCACACACACACACAGGUUUGCUCACUGGCAUCCGAGCUUCUGCAAAGGGCCAAACCAAUUAGCUCAAUUACAGCAAAACAAGCCGCUUCUCUGCUCUCUGCUUUCGAAAAUGUUCAGGUAUCUCAUUGUUGAUGAUUUAUCCCUCACUCUGCCUACGGAAAACUGUCAUUUAUUUUUAUCAUCAUCAUCCUCCUCCUCCUCUCCUCACAGCUGUGAUCGUCAUGGUGAUGAGAGGGAUUGUCUUAGGUGGUUUUCACACUGGGCAUGUCCGCUGAGGUCCGAAUCCACCUGUCUGGUUUCAGACUCACUUGAUUCUAUCGAACCCCGGGGCAUUCGCAUUCAUCUUACAUCAUCACAAACGCGCAUGGAGAACACAAUACGACUCACCACAUACAUAUAUAUUAUUUUGGUGCUAUUAAGCUACGUUCCCCUGCCCAAUAUACACGUGCCAUGAAAACUACUGAUGUCGUCAUCGGCGAAGACACAUACGCAGGUUAAUUUACUUCCUGAACAAGUGCGGACAGGAGUACGAGUUGCGUUCACAUUCACGGGAAUCGCAUGCAACCGAACCAUCUCCUACAGGCGGUCUCGGGUUCGGUACCGCACGACAGCUUCCACGUUAACGAUUUUUCAUGUCC
ensembl:lncRNA